UAUACGUUAGUAGCUGUCCAUCUCUCAGAAAUAGAGUUAGUUUGGCCUUCGCUAUUGCAUCUCUUGGCUUUAGGAGAUCUAUGACAAAUUGCGGAUCUAACUGCAAUUCUGCUAGACUUGUGCUAUAUCGUUAAUUAUACUGCAUGCAUAUCAGUGUGUGAAUUGCUCUCAUAUCGGGACAGGGGAUGUUAGACUAGUCAUGUGAAUCAAUUGACAUAUACUUUACAGUGCUUAUCUGUAUGAUAGUCAGGAAUCUAUCAGCCAGCAUAUUCAACAUUGACAAACUUAGAAAAUGUCAAAAAAAAUUAAGACUAGUCAAUGUCAAUUAUUUUUAAGACUAGUCAAUAUCAAAUUUUUUAAGACUAGUCAAUAUCAAUUUUUUUAAGACUAGUCAUGAGGACUGUGUAGACCUUAUUUCACUAGUCCUUGGAGUUUGUAGCUAGUCCUGUUUGAACGAAGCAAGACUGUUUACUAUGUUUAUAUUACUGUCAGUUUUAUCAGUUUCAAUUUCUCAGAAAAUUGAAACAUUGAGAACUGGUUCAGAAUUAUAAUGCUGCACGUCAAUGAGGAUUAACAUUGAAUUGUUAUGUCCACAGCACAUUUUAAUAGCCUCGGGCCAUCAGACUAGCAUCAAUUUUGAAGGCUUAUUAAAAUUAAAGUCAAGGGAUGCUAAACCUCAGGUUAAAAAAUAAAGAUUUAGUGGGUCCCUCGAUAAUGUUCACCUUGAUGUCUAAACACUGCACAUCCAAUCAUUGGGUGAUGUUUCUAAAAGCCCACCUUCAAUGUUACCUGCCCAUCUUCAAUGUUACCUGCUAACAUUCAGCAUUAAUAUUGAAAAAUUGCAAAAAUAAGAGACAAAUCAUGUCAUGAUUCAGUUGAAAUGUUGCAAAAAAUUACUUGAAAAUUUACAAGGAGUUAUAAUAAGUCUGAAUAUGAGAGUAGUCUUGAAAUUAUGUGCCAGACAGUCGGGCAGGUGGAGGAACACUUCCCGACAAAAAUGUUACCAGCCACGGGCAGGUGGGCAGACAGUUAUUUCGGACACUGAUUUGGAGCUUGUUGACUUUAUUAAAGUGAGUCAAAUUCAUAGAUUGGCUGUGCUUUGAUAGGUGAAAAUCAACUUUUUAAUAUAUAUAUGUUUUUAGAUAAAAGUUGAUAACUUCCGCAAGGGUUUGAUCAUUUUCUACAGGGGUAAUAAUGAAUUUUUUUUACAUGUUUUACCCUGAAUGAAUAUUACCCGUAUCAACAUGAAGUAUGUUGUACUGACUUGACUAAGGCUGACAGGAAGUCACAGUAACCAUGGCAACAGACUGGCCUGGAUUAUAGUACUGGUGACUCACUGCAUCUGAUCCUGCUCUGGGAUGAGAUGCCAGCAAGGAAGUGGGUUGUAGGCAGGAGGAAGUUGAUCAUGAGCUCAACGACUCAGCAAAUCCCACAUCUUCACAGCAUGUGCUUGAUGAACUGUGAAGCAGGCCUCCAUCGAGGGAAGUGUUCAGGGCAGAGUCCUGCUUGCUUGCCUCAGUUACUGUCUUGUGUCCCCCCAAAAGAAAUUUGGAUACUCUCUCAAUAUAUUAUUUAGUUUUGCUGUGACAGUCUAUGUGGUAUUUAUGUAAGGCCCGGUAGUGUUUUUAGCUCCAGAAGUUUAAUCUUAGGCUCCUCUGAUUAAUUUUUUGACAAGAUUACAACUGGACCUGGUGGCUGGUUAACAGGGUCACCUGGGUAUCAAGGUGGCUGGUUUAACAAGGUAACCUGGAUAUCAAGGUGGCUGGUUAAAUGAGGUCUCCUGGGUAUCAAGGUGGCUGGUUAACAAGGUCACCUGGGUAUCAAGGUGGCUGGUUAACGAGGUCACCUGGGUAUCAAGGUGGCUGGUUAACGAGGUCACCUGGGUAUCAAGGUGGCUGGUUAACAAGGUCACCUGGGUAUCAAGGUAGCUGGUUAACAAGGUCACCUGGGUAUCAAGGUGGCUGGUUAACAAGGUCACCUGGGUAUCAAGGUGGCUGGUUAACAAGGUCACCUGGGUAUCAAGGUGGCUGGUUAAAUGAGGUCACCUGGGUAUCAAGGUGGCUGGUUAACAUCGUCACCUGGGUAUCAAGGUGGCUGGUUAAUGAGGUCACCUGGGUAUCAAGGUGGCUGGUUAACAAGGUCAUAUGGGUAUCAAGGUAGCCGGUUAACGAGGUCACCUGGGUAUCAAGGUGUCUAUGUAUUAAAGUAACCUGGACAUCAUGAUGUUAUUGGCCUCGAGUUGCCUGAAACAACUGGUCAAAAUCCAUCAACAAUAUAUCUGUUUCACUUCUGGACAAUUACAGUAGUUAACAAAAUAACGGCUGCUUGGAAACUUCAAAAUGUCAAAAUUCCCAUUUUCAGGGAUGUAAAUCUUCCUCAGAUCUGCAAAUUUAAGUGACCACAAAUUUACUACAAUCUGAUGGCUUCCUCCCUAAUCACAACCAAAUCAGCAGAAUCCCUGCAUUUGAUUCCUUGACUGGGAUUUUCGAGAAUAAUGAAUAAUCCCUGCUUUCAAGCACAUGGUUGAUGGUGGUGGAUUGAUGCUGUGCAGCAUGGCCAUAUUGUUACAAUGUUUUAGUUAGAUCACAAUAAUCAUUGUAUGACUGUUAACAGUCAAAUGUGUUUUAGCAUGGCAUGUUUCAUAUGUAAUUAAACAUACCCAAUGUGUCAAGGUGGCUGGUUAAAUGAGGUCACCUGGGUAUCAAGGUGGCUGGUUAACAUCGUCACCUGGGUAUCAAGGUAGCUGGUUAACGAAGUCACCUGGGUAUCAAGGUGGCUGGUUAGAUGAGGUCACCUUGUUAUCAAGGUGGCUGGUUAACAAGGUCACCUGGGUAUCACGGUGGCUGGUUAACGAGGUCACCUGGGUAUCAAGGUGGCUGGUUAACGAGGUCACCCGGGUAUCAAGGUGGCUGGUUAACAAGGUCACCUGAGUAUCGAGGUGGCUGGUUAACGAGGUCACCUGGGUAUCAAGGUGGCUGGUUAAAUGAGGUCACCUUGUUAUCAAGGUGGCUGGUUAAAUUAGGUCACCUGGGUAUCAAGGUGGCUGGUUAACGAGGUCACUUGGGUAUCACCUGGGUAUCACCUGGGUAAACAUACCCAAUGUGUCCAAUAGAUCAAAAUCUAGCUUUAGUUAGACCCACAUAUCAAGCCUUUGUUGUCAUGUAGGCAUAUUUUGCCAUGCGAUAUAGUCCCUUAAUGUUCUACACAAGUUGCUCACCGAAUGUAUUCAAUGUUGUAUUGAUUGGUAGGAAAUUAUAGAUGAUAUACCAUAUUAUAUAUGUGUCAAACAAUGAAUGAUUUCAUAAACUUUCAUUAAUCAUUAAUAAUGUCCCAUCAUUUCAGUGUGUUGUACAAAUGCUGAAUUUUACACAGUGAUUUCGUUGCUCCAAAGACUUAUUGUCAGCUGUGAUUGUUUUGAAUGGUAUUUGAUAAUCAUUUGCAUAAUUUUUACACAAAUCGGUUGAUCUCAUCAACAUUUAUCAUGAUUUUAAUA